AAAAUCGUGAAGAAAACCAAUAACACAUAGCUGUAGAAAUAUUUAUAUGAUGUGGAGUUAGUAAUGCAUUUAAGGGGAAAGACUCAUCAUAGAGUCACACUCACAACAAUGGCCCUAUACUCAGCAGAGAUGGGUCGUCAGUGAUUUGGAUGCAAAUGGGCAAUAAUCAUUUCAGGAGGUUCAUUUUCGCUCCCCUGGUACCCCCACUUUCGACAGGCACACAUGCG
rnacentral:lncRNA from 1 species